rnacentral:rRNA from 1 species
UACGGAGGGGGCUAGCGUUGUUCGGAAUUACUGGGCGUAAAGCGCACGUAGGCGGCUUUGUAAGUUAGAGGUGAAAGCCCAGGGCUUAACCCUGGAAUUGCCUUUAAGACUGCAUCGCUCGAAUUGUGGAGAGGUGAGUGGAAUUCCGCGUGUAGCAGUGAAAUGCGUAGAUAUGCGGAGGAACACCGAUGGCGAAGGCAAUCCCCUGGGCCUGCACUGACGCUCAUGCACGAAAGCGUGGGGAGCAAACAGG